rnacentral:rRNA from 2 species
UAGAAGUUACUUCGGUACAUCGGUGACAGGUGGUGCAUGGUUGUCGUCAGCUCGUGUCGUGAGAUGUUGGGUUAAGUCCCGCAACGAGCGCAACCCUUGUCUUUAGUUUGCCAUCAUUCAGUUGGGCACUCUAGAGAGACUGCCGAGGACAACUCGGAGGAAGGUGGGGAUGACGUCAAAUCAUCAUGCCCCUUAUGUCCUGGGCUACACACGUGCUACAAUGGCUGGUACAAAGAGACGCAAGACCGCGAGGUGGAGCAAAUCUCAAAAACCAGUCCCAGUUCGGAUUGCAGGCUGCAACUCGCCUGCAUGAAGUUGGAGUUGCUAGUAAUCGCAGAUCAGAAUGCUGCGGUGAAUGCGUUCCCGGGUCUU